rnacentral:rRNA from 1 species
GCCAGCGGUGAUAGCUCGUUGAAUACACCACUUCCCCAUAGUUCACUGAUGUUAAGCAACGUUGCUCGUAGUUAGUGACCGAAUGGGUGACCAUCGGGGGAAUCGCGUGCUCGUUGCUU